UCCUACGGGAGGCAGCAGUGGGGAAUUUUGGACAAUGGGCGCAAGCCUGAUCCAGCAAUGCCGCGUGAGUGAAGAAGGCCUUCGGGUUGUAAAGCUCUUUUGUCAGGGAAGAAACGGCUGAGGUUAAUACCUUCGGCUAAUGACGGUACCUGAAGAAUAAGCACCGGCUAACUACGUGCCAGCAGCCGCGGUAAUACGUAGGGUGCAAGCGUUAAUCGGAAUUACUGGGCGUAAAGCGUGCGCAGGCGGUUUUGUAAGUCUGACGUGAAAGCCCCGGGCUCAGCCUGGGAAUUGCGUUGGAGACUGCAAGGCUUGAAUCUGGCAGAGGGGGGUAGAAUUCCACGUGUAGCAGUGAAAUGCGUAGAGAUGUGGAGGAACACCGAUGGCGAAGGCAGCCCCCUGGGUCAAGAUUGACGCUCAUGCACGAAAGCGUGGGGAGCAAACAGGAUUAGAUACCCUGGUAGUCCACGCCCUAAACGAUGUCUACUAGUUGUCGGGUCUUAAUUGACUUGGUAACGCAGCUAACGCGUGAAGUAGACCGCCUGGGGAGUACGGUCGCAAGAUUAAAACUCAAAGGAAUUGACGG
rnacentral:rRNA from 1 species